GGGGAAGCAGUGCCCCUGAGAGUUCCAGGAAGAAGUUUGGGGAGCGGUCCACAAUAGGAAGGGGGAAGCUAUGGAAGCCCCUGUGAGAUGAUGACUGCAUCCACAACCAGGACUGUAGCCAGCGGUGCGGAGCCGAGCCGAGCCUUGAAGAGAGUUCUUGUAAGCUGACCCGCUGUGUUGACUGAUGGAGCAUCGAGCAGGACGGAGAAGCGGAAAUGUAGAUUUCCUAUCCCAACCAGAAGACAGUCCUAGCAAAGGCCUGACACCCGCCAAGCAAGACCCUGGAAGGUCAAGUACCAAGCUAGGACCUCCUAACUAGGCAAGAGUUGCGCCACACUCUCUGGAGCCAAUGAGGCUCAGGAAGGAGAGAUAAGAAGGAGAGAAGACUUGCGAGAAAGUGCCUUCGGGCACCUACAGAUUGUGAGAUGUUGGCGAGGAGCUCUGCGGUGAGAGAUCCCGAGGAAGACCCAGAGGCAGGGGCUUGAUCCGCCCCUUUUUGCUACAUACCUGAAACCCCCAACUUCUGCGGUGAGUCGCAGGGAAUGGAGCAGCGGCGCGGUAAAAAGCCACAGCUCCAUGCCAAGACGCGGCGGCAUUACCCAGGAGGAAAAGGGGGUGGGGGAACACUUGACCCAACCCUGAAGAAACGAGACCCUGACCCCUCAUCGGAGGACAAGAGGGUGGGGGCAAAGGAAAAGACUGCGAAAAAGCCAUGAUCCCCAUGCCGGCACGAGACGCAGCCAGGGAAUCCUGGUGCCAGUGUUCAUCAGCCGCUAAUGAGGCAAUUAGUGGCUGAUAACUGGGACAAUGCCCGGUACUUACCAACUGAGUAAGUUGGCGGCGAUUGGCCUGAAUACACAGGGGGUCUCUAGGGAGAGUCCAACAAGCUGCCUCCUCUGCCAGGUGUUCCUGGAAAGAGUAAUACCAGACUAAGAAUAAUAAA